rnacentral:rRNA from 1 species
AUUGAACGCUGGCGGCAUGCUUUACACAUGCAAGUCGAGCGGCAGCGCGGGGGGCAACCCCUGGCGGCGAGCGGCGAACGGGUGAGUAAUGCAUCGGAACGUGUCCCGUAGUGGGGGAUAACCCGGCGAAAGCCGGGCUAAUACCGCAUAUGCUCUACGGAGGAAAGGGGGGGAUCCGCAAGGACCUCUCGCUAUGGGAGCGGCCGAUGUCGGAUUAGCUAGUUGGUGGGGUAAAGGCUUACCAAGGCGACGAUCCGUAGCUGGUCUGAGAGGAUGAUCAGCCACACUGGGACUGAGACACGGCCCAGACUCCUACGGGAGGCAGCAGUGGGGAAUUUUGGACAAUGGGGGCAACCCUGAUCCAGCCAUGCCGCGUGAGUGAAGAAGGCCUCGGUUGUAAG